rnacentral:rRNA from 1 species
UACGUAGGGUGCAAGCGUUGUCCGGAAUUAUUGGGCGUAAAGAGCUCGUAGGCGGUUCGUCGCGUCGGCUGUGAAAUCCCGAGGCUCAACCUCGGGUCUGCAGUCGAUACGGGCGGACUGGAGUACUGCAGGGGAGACUGGAAUUCCUGGUGUAGCGGUGAAAUGCGCAGAGAUCGGAAAGAACACCAACGGCGAAAGCACUCUGCUGGGCCGACACUGACACUGAGAGACGAAAGCUAGGGGAGCGAAUGGG